rnacentral:rRNA from 1 species
CAGUNGGGAAGAAGNGAAAGUGACGGUACCUGCAGAAGAAGCNCNGNCUAANUACGUGCCAGCAGCCGCGGUAAUACGUAGGGUGCGAGCGUUAUCCGGAAUUAUUGGGCGUAAAGAGNUCGUAGGCGGUUUGUCGCGUCUGUCGUGAAANUCCGGGGCUUAACCCCGGAUNUGCGGUGGGUACGGGCAGACUAGAGUGCAGUAGGGGAGACUGGAAUUCCUGGUGUAGCGGUGGAAUGCGCAGAUAUCAGGAGGAACACCGAUGGCGAAGGCAGGUCUCUGGGCUGUAACUGACGCUGAGGAGCGAAAGCAUGGGGAGCGAACAGGAUUAGAUACCCUGGUAGUCCAUGCCGUAAACGUUGGGCACUAGGUGUGGGGACCAUUCCACGGUUUCCGCGCCGCAGCUAACGCAUUAAGUGCCCCGCCUGGGGAGUACGGCCGCAAGGCUAAAACUCAAAGGAAUUGACGGGGGCCCGCACAAGCGGCGGAGCAUGCGGAUUAAUUCGAUGCAACGCGAAGAACCUUACCAAGGCUUGACAUGUUCUCGAUCGCCGUAGNNNNNNGGUUUCCCCUUUGGGGCGGGUUCACAGGUGGUGCAUGGUUGUCGUCAGCUCGUGUCGUGAGAUGUUGGGUUAAGUCCCGCAACGAGCGCAACCCUCGUUCCAUGUUGCCAGCACGUAAUGGUGGGGACUCAUGGGAGACUGCCGGGGUCAACUCGGAGGAAGGUGAGGACGACGUCAAAUCAUCAUGCCCCUUAUGUCUUGGGCUUCACGCAUGCUACAAUGGCCGGUACAAUGGGUUGCGAUACUGUGAGGUGGAGCUAAUCCCAAAAAGCCGGUCUCAGUUCGGAUUGGGGUCUGCAACUCGACCCCAUGAAGUCGGAGUCGCUAGUAAUCGCAGAUCAGCAACGCUGCGGUGAAUACGUUCCCGGGCCUUGUACACACCGCCCGUCAAGUCACGAAAGUUGNUNACACCCGAAGCCGGUNGCCUAACCCUUGNGGNNGAGCCGU